GCGGGUGUGGCGGAACUGGUAGACGCAGGUCACCGACAAUGUCCGGGGCGCAAGCCUGUGGGAGUUCGAAUCUCCCCAUCCGCA
rnacentral:tRNA from 1 species